AGUUCCUUAGAGAGAAGCUUCCUGCCAGCCAAAUUAUUUUCCAAGUCAUCAGUGUGCGAGAGUGGCAGAACAUGGCUGUGUCCAAAUUCAGGGGCUCCUUCCUUCAAAAGCCACAUUUGAAGACCGAUUAUGUCAGAGUGAAAUGAUGAAAGCUGUCCAAUGUCAUACAAAUGUGGCCAACAAAUGCGUCCUACUUUCGUCAGUUUUGGAGGAUGGGUCGGGUCUAUCAUUCAUGGUCCCCGCUAUACCAGGAUUCAUUGCAAAUCUAAGGUUGAAGGAAUUUUGGGGGAAAAAUGGUGGAUGGUCAAACGAAGUGAUCCAGAAAUAAACUUUUAAAAUAUUCAGAGUCAGGAGAGACUGAAAAACCCACCAGUGAGAGGUGAUGGGACAGAGGUUUCCACCCCUGAUGAAACAGCCGGAAAAUUCAGCAAUGCGAGGAAGAUGAGGAGGAAGAGGAGCCAGCAGCAGCUCAGAGAAGACGAGGAGAACAAAUAGCUGUUCUCUGUAGUUUAGAAAAUGGUGGAAUCAUUUAAAAGAAAUUCUAGAUAUUUGUUUCUUGUGUUUGCAGCGGUAUCGCCAACACAAAAUAUAACAGCUUCAUUCAGGGAAUCACAAAAAUAAAUUUGUGAUCAAUCACUGAUGUUUAUCCUGCAGGAAAGGACAGGGGAAAGAAGGAAAAAUAAAGGCAAGCACAGACAACUUUGAUGAUGCUUUGAUGUAUCCAGAAUAUAUUUAGUUAAACAUUAAAUAUUUAGUUUAGUUAACAAAGUGGGAUUGUGUUAGUUUUAGUGGAAAAUGUGUGCAGCUGACUUAAAUAAAAUGUUCAAAUGAA